rnacentral:rRNA from 1 species
UACGGAGGGGGCUAGCGUUGUUCGGAAUUAUUGGGCGUAAAGCGCACGUAGGCGGCUUGGCAAGUCGGAUGUGAAAUCCCUCGGCUCAACCAAGGAAGUGCAUCCGAAACUGCCGAGCUUGAGUACUUAAGAGGAUCGCGGAAUUCCCGGUGUAGAGGUGAAAUUCGUAGAUAUUGGGAAGAACACCCGUGGCGAAGGCGGCUCACUGGCUCGUAUCUGACGCUCAGGCGCGACAGCGUGGGGAUCAAACAGG